rnacentral:rRNA from 1 species
AUUGAACGCUGGCGGCAGGCCUAACACAUGCAAGUCGAACGAGUGGCGGACGGGUGAGUAAUGUCUGGGACACUGCCUGAUGGAGGGGGAUAACUACUGGAAACGGUAGAUAAUACCGCAUACCAUCAGAUGUGCCCAGAUGGGAUUCGCUUGUUGGUGGGGUAACGGCUCGCCAAGGCGACGAUCCCUAGAUGGUCUGAGAGGAUGACCAGACACACGGGAACUGAGACACGGUCCAGACGCCUACGGGAGGCAGCAGUGGGGAAUAUUGCACAAUGGGCGCAAGCCUGAUGCAGCCAUGCCGCGUGUAUGAAGAAGGCCUUCGGGUUGUAAAGUACUUUCAGCGGGGAGGCGUUACCCGCAGAAGAAGCACCGGCUAACUCCGUGCCAGCAGCCGCGGUAAUUC